ACAACCUGUAUCAACGGAUCUCUAGGCUCUGACGUCGAUAAAAACGCAGCAAACAGCGAAAUCAAAUANACAGCAA
rnacentral:rRNA from 1 species